rnacentral:rRNA from 1 species
ACGAGUUUGAUCAUGGCUCAGAGCGAACGUUAGCGGCGGGCUUAACACAUGCAAGUCGAGCGAGAAAGGGGCUUCGGCCCUGAGUACAGCGGCGGACGGGUGAAUAACACGUAGGUAACCUUCCUUCCAGCGGGGGACAACGGUCCGAAAGGACCGCUAAUACCGCAUACGUUCCCUGGGACCCUGGUCCCGGGGAGGAAAGCUCCGCAAGGGGCACUGGAUGAGGGGCCUGCGUAGCAUCAGCUAGUUGGUGGGGUAAUGGCCUACCAAGGCUAAGACGCUUAGCUGGUCUGAGAGGAUGAUCAGCCACACUGGGACUGAGACACGGCCCAGACUCCUACGGGAGGCAGCAGUGGGGAAUAUUGGACAAUGGGCGCAAGCCUGAUCCAGCCACGCCGCGUGAGUGAUGAAGGCCUUCGGGUCGUAAAGCUCUGUGGGGAGGGACGAAUGGCGCCGUGAAGAGCGGCGAGUGACGGUACCUCCUUAGCAAGCACCGGCUAACUUCGUG